AGGUGGAAUUCCGCANGUAGCAGUGAAAUGCGUAGAUAUGCGGAGGAACACCGAUGGCGAAGGCAGCNUCCUGGGAUAACACUGACGCUCAUGCACGAAAGCGUGGGGAGCAAACAGGAUUAGAUACCCUGGUAGUCCACGCCCUAAACGAUGUCUACUAGUUGUCGGGGAUUAAUUUCCUUGGUAACGCAGCUAACGCGUGAAGUAGACCGCCUGGGGAGUACGGUCGCAAGAUUAAAACUCAAAGGAAUUGACGGGGACCCGCACAAGCGGUGGAUGAUGUGGAUUAAUUCGAUGCAACGCGAAAAACCUUACCUACGCUUGACAUGUCCGGAACCCUGAAGAGAUUUGGGGGUGCUCGAAAGAGAGCCGGAACACAGGUGCUGCAUGGCUGUCGUCAGCUCGUGUCAUGAGAUGUUGNNNNNNNNNNNNNAACGAGCGCAACCCUUAUCAUUAGUUGCUACGCAAGGGCACUCUAAUGAGACUGCCGGUGACAAACCGGAGGAAGGUGGGGAUGACGUCAAGUCCUCAUGGCCCUUAUGUGUAGGGCUUCACACGUCAUACAAUGGUCGGUACAGAGGGUUGCGAAGCCGCGAGGUGGAGCCAAUCCCAAAAAACCGAUCGUAGUCCGGAUUGCAGUCUGCAACUC
rnacentral:rRNA from 1 species